CCUACGGGAGGCAGCAGUGAGGAAUAUUGGUCAAUGGACGCAAGUCUGAACCAGCCAAGCCGCGUGCAGGAAGACGGCUCUAUGAGUUGUAAACUGCUUUUGUACGAGGGUAAACGCAGAUACGCGUAUCUGUCUGAAAGUAUCGUACGAAUAAGGAUCGGCUAACUCCGUGCCAGCAGCCGCGGUAAUACGGAGGAUUCAAGCGUUAUCCGGAUUUAUUGGGUUUAAAGGGAGCGUAGGUGGUCGGAUAAGUGAGAGGUGAAAGUCUGAGGCUCAACUUCGGAAUUGCAUUUGAUACUGGUCGGCUAGAGUGUAGUUGAGGUAGGCGGAAUGUGUGGUGUAGCGGUGAAAUGCUUAGAGAUCAUAAAGAACACCGAUUGCGAAGGCAGCUUACCAAGCUACUUCUGACGUUGAGGCACGAAAGCGUGGGGAGCAAACAGGAUUAGAUACCCGGGUAGUC
rnacentral:rRNA from 1 species